rnacentral:rRNA from 1 species
GACGAACGCUGGUGGCGUGCUUAACACAUGCAAGUCGAACGAUGAAGCCGGAGCUUGCUCUGGUGAAUUAGUGGCGAACGGGUGAGUAACACGUGAGUAACCUGCCCUUGACUCUGGGAUAACUGCUAGAAAUGGUAGCUAAUACCGGAUACGACCCUCGGAGGCAUCUCCAGGGGGUGGAAAGAAUUUCGGUCAAGGAUGGACUCGCGGCCUAUCAGCUAGUUGGUGAGGUAACGGCUCACCAAGGCGACGACGGGUAGCCGGCCUGAGGGGGUGACCGGCCCAACUGGGACUGGGACACGGCCCAGGCUCCUACGGGAGGCAGCAGUGGGGAAUAUUGCACAAUGGGCGCAAGCCUGAUGCAGCAACGCCGCGUGAGGGAUGACGGCCUUCGGCUUGUAAACCUCUUUUAGUAGGGAAGAAGCGAAAGUGACGGUACCUGCAGAAAAAGCACCGGCUAACUACGUGCCAGCAGCCGCCGUAA